UACAGAGGGGGCAAGCGUUGUUCGGAAUUACUGGGCGUAAAGGGCGCGUAGGCGGCCUGUUAAGUCGAACGUGAAAUCCCCGGGCUCAACCCGGGAACUGCGUCCGAUACUGGCAGGCUUGAAUUCGGGAGAGGGAUGUGGAAUUCCAAGUGUAGCGGUGAAAUGCGUAGAUAUCUGGAGGAACACCGGUGGCGAAGGCGGCAUCCUGGACCGAUAUUGACGCUGAGGCGCGAAAGCCAGGGGAGCAAACGGG
rnacentral:rRNA from 1 species